GAUGAAGCGAGGAGAUGAAUAUGACGAGGUCAACCGCUAAACAGUUCUACCAACGCUACUUUUCUGCGACGCAGGAUGCGUCAUGGCUAGCCCGCCUGAUGGCAGGACGACAGCAGGAAAUACUCGGCGAGCUGAUGCAGUGGGGAGUUACGUCGCCGACCUCCGAUCGUUAACUUGCGCAAUCAUGUGUGACUGAGUAUUGGUGCGUACCUGUCCACUUUCGCGUUCCCGGCAUUAGCGCGGCCCGCUUGUAGCGGCCGCCGGCCUGUAACCUGAAGCCGAUAGAGUAUAAAAUCACCCGCCAGCAGAUGACUUCUGCUGGCUUUUUUC
rnacentral:antisense_RNA from 2 species